AUCUUGUAGCUGCUCCCAGUGGCAAAGAGCAACCAAAGAACUACAUGGGCCUCAAGAAGGUCAGCAGGAUUAAAUGAAGCAAAAAGGAUGGAGCCCUAAUUCAAUAGGAAUGAUGUGAUUAUAAGAAGAGAAAGAGACACCAAAGCACAGAGGCAAGAUGGUGUGAGGACACAAUGGGACGGUGGCAUCUGCAACUAAGGAGAGAAGCUUCUGGAUAAACCAAAUUUGCUGACCUCUUAACCUUGGACAUCCAGUCUCUAGAACAGUGAAAAAAUUAAUUUCUGUGGUUUAAACUACAUAGUCUUUGCAACUUUGUUAUGGCAGCCCUGGCAGACUAUCAGAAAUGCAUUAAGAUGUUCACAAAAAGAAAUGUACAAAAUGUUCUUAGCAACAUUCUUGUAUUUGGUUAUUCUGAGAAUAACCAAAGCCUAAAAACAGUCCAGAUGUCCAUCAAGUGUAAUUUGUAUAAAUUAUGUUUAUUUAUUCCAAACAAUGUAAUUUGGCAAUGAAAACUAACAGAUUACAGCUAGACACAGCAACAGGAAUAAAUCACAAACAUAGUGUUGAGCCAAAGAACUAAGUACAGAUGAGUACGUCUUGAAUGAUUCUAUUCAUAUAAAGUUAUGAUGAAUCAGUCAAAAUGAAUCUGCUGUGUUAGAAAUCAGGAAUCA
rnacentral:lncRNA from 1 species